UACGGAGGGUGCAAGCGUUAUCCGGAUUUACUGGGUUUAAAGGGUGCGCAGGCGGAUAUGUAAGUCAGUGGUGAAAUCUCUAGGCUUAACCUGGAAAUUGCCGUUGAUACUAUAUAUCUUGAAUGUUGUGGAGGUAAGCAGAAUAUGUCAUGUAGCGGUGAAAUGCUUAGAUAUGACAUAGAAUACCUAUUGCGAAGGCAGCUUACUACGCAGAUAUUGACGCUCAUGCACGGAAGCGUGGGGAUCAAACAGG
rnacentral:rRNA from 1 species